GCCACAUUUAAUAGCCCCUCCUGGAUCACUCCCCCCUUAGACAAGGUCAGCCUGAGCCUGCUUUGGGCAUACCCUGGGGAAGAUAUGGAUUCCUGCAAUGUUUUGGACUGUGAGUACAUCAGGAUGAAGAGUCUGUGUUGGUGUUUGUGGUGUACAGGCUUCUGAUUCAGGUAUUCCUGCUGUGUUACACAAUAGCUGUCUCAUGCAGCAAGCACUAGAGAACUACAGCAGAUGAAGUGCUUGGUGACACGAAGGAACAAGCAGAUCUAUGAACAGUGGAAACAAUACAACAAGUUUUCCGACGUAUUUGUGCCACCUAGUAGUCUCCUUUAACAUCUAACAGCAUGAGUGGGGAAUCAAAUCUUCUGCCACUGCUGGGAUACUCACAGCAUCGCUCCACUGGGCAUAAUAUGGUGUCUAAUAAAGAAUUAACAGAACAGCUUGCUUCUCAGUUGGGUGCACACAUAAGCUGCAUCUACACUACUAAAUUAAACAAUACUAGGGAACGUU
rnacentral:lncRNA from 1 species